rnacentral:lncRNA from 1 species
CCUCUCUGCUGUUGGUGCUGGCGGACACGCGCCGUGCGCGCCCACAAAACCCCACCCGGAUCGCAGACGAAAGCAGAGGAGGAACUCAGACCGCAGCGAUUCGCCCCGGGGGCCGGUCCUCGGCGUGGCGCCUUUUUUCCCAUCUGCACAGCCCCGCCGAAUUGGCGCAAAAGAGCAGGCCAUCCCAUGCGGCACCAGGCGGCGAUCGGCCGACCGAACCAGGUGAAAGGCACAGACCAUUGCGCCACGAUAUAAACCUAGAAAAAGUGUUGAAAAAGGGGCCGCACUAUUUUUUUCUUUGG